rnacentral:misc_RNA from 1 species
CAGAGUAUCAUGCCCUUCGGGGUAGAUCUCCCACCCUGUGUAUUUGUACCUUUUGUUGCUUUGGCGGGCCGCCUUAGGCCACCGGCCCCGGCUGGUGAGCGCCCGCCAGAGGACCCCAAACUCUGAAUAUUAGUGUCGUCUGAGUACUAUAUAAUAGUUA